CGGAUUCCAAAAGCGUAGCUCUGUUAGGACGUUUUUCACAAGCGUUGCGACGCGUCGCUUGAAAUCGGAGUGUGGUUUUCCCCCCAGCCUCCUCAGUAAGCAAAGGGGCGACGAUGGGCUAGACUUUCUUUCGAUUAAAAAGGAAUCACAGACAGAUUCUGUCUCUGCUAGAUUCAAAUCUAGCCGAAUCACGGACAGAUCUGCUGGAGUUUGCGCAAAUCUGCUAGAAUCUGUUCUAGCAGAUCCUGUUUGCACAAGUGUUCAAGUGAGGCUUUUGAGGAGUAGAGAUACCUGAAUUUUUCAUUCCCAGCCUGGAAAAUCUACAGCUCAGUGGUCACCACGGUGCAUGCAAGAGCAAUAGUGCUUGUUAGGGAAUGCAUCUGCUCAGUUCAUAAGCCCCAGAAGUUUUGAAGGGUGAACGCAAAUGAAACUGUCUGCAUCAGUUUGGAAGCCGGAAAGCACAAGUGAAAAUGUAAAGAUACAAGAGCCCAACAUGUGGUGAGAGAUAGAAAAGAUGCCAGCGGAUGAAGCUGAGAAAUGGAGGAAAGCAGCAUUAGAAGAAAUUGAUUCCCUGCACAAAAAUGAGACCUGGAUACUUGUGGAACUACCCGCUGGAAGUAAGACUGUGGGAUGCAAGUGGGUCUUCAAAGUCAAGCAAGAUGCAGAAGGGGAUGUACAGUGCUACAAAGCCAGACUAGUAGCCAAAGGAUACUCCCAAAUCUAUGGUCAGGACUACGAUGAGAUCUUUGCACCAGUUGUGAAACACACUUCAAUUGGGGCACUGCUCAGCGUGGCAGCAGACAGAAAAAUGGAAGUUGACCACUUGGAUGUAAACACUGCCCUCCUUCAUGGGGAGAUUGAGGAAGACAUCUAAAUGCAACAGCCACCAGGCUUUGAGGUACCUGGAAAGCAGGGGUUUGUAUGCAAACUACAAAAGAGCAUCUAUGGCUUAAAGCAAGCAUCCAGAGCAUGGAAUGAGAAGCUGAAUCAACUACUACUUAAAGAGAGGUUCAUGCAAGGAAAAGCUGACCCCUGCCUAUAUUCAGUAUUCAGGGACAAUAAAUGGACUUACAUCCUGACUUCUGUAGAUGACUUGAUCAUUGCAUAUGAAGAAAGAUGAGAAAGCCAUGAGAUUAUACAGCACCUGAACAAGGAAAUAGAGCUGAAGAAACUCGGAAGCAUCUCCUAUUACCUUGGCAUCCAAAUGGAAAGGGAAGAGGAUGGGACAUUCCUUCUCAACCAGAAGCCAAAGAUAAAGGAUCUUCGAGAAUGCCUGGGACUGACAGAGAGAUGCCAAUGAAGUCAGUACACCAAUGGAUGAAAAUUUCUGGAUGCAAGAUGGAGACUGCAAGACUUUACCAGCCAACAAUCAAUACAGAAAGGCAAUUGGAAAGCUUCUAUAUACAGCCACAAUAAUAAGGCCAGAUAUUCCUUCAGCAGUGGGAAUCCUGAGCAGAAAAGUAAGUGCACCAACCAACAAUGACUGAACUGCAGUCAAGACUGGGAAGAAGUGUAGAAAAGGAAUCUUCAACGCACACUAUGCGUUGGAGAUUCCAGCAAGUAGCAAUCCCCGACUAGAUGCAGAAUGGGGUGAAGACAGAACAGACCACAAGUCCACAAGUGGACAUCUGUUCUUGUAUGGAGAUGGAGCCAUAAGUUGGCCUAGCUGCAAGCAGUCACUUGUUGCACAAUCAUCCAUAGAUGUAGAAUACAUUUCCACAGCUGAAGCGUGCAAAGAAGUGGUGUGGAUACACCAGCUACUAUCAGACUUUGGGAUUGAGGAGCCAAAGCCCACAGUAAUGUUUUGAGGAUAACCAAAGUUGUAUCCAGAUCUCCCAAAUGGAGAAGAUGAAGUCCCAAACUAAGCACAUUCCCAUAAAAUAUUGCUGUGUUCGAGACUUGCAAGAGAAAGAGGUAGUCCAGUUGGAGUACUGCCCAACCGAAGGGAUGGUGGCAGAUGGAUUGACUAAGCCAUUGCCCAAAGACGGAUUCCAGAUGCUUUGUGAGAAGAUGGGGAUUGUGAGCCUGUGAGACAGGCGAUGAGAAGAGAGCCACCAGAAAAUUGCUGAGGUUGGCAUUCACCUGGAACCACGAGAAACCUACCUGGCUCUGCCUCUCUACCCAAUCCUCCCACUCACUUCUACAUUCUUCAUUUCGAUUUCUAGCAACCCCAUUCCUGGGUUCCUUUGCAAAGUCGUGAGGGGGCUGUGCAAGAAAGAGGAAAUGGAUGGGGGUUCUUUCUUGCUGAACCUUGAAUAAAAAUAAACUGGCCUAGAUUUCGGGCUUGGAUUUAACAAACAAACCAAACAAGAAAGCAGAGAGAGAGAGAGAGAGAGAAAUCGGGGCU